GUGGUUGUAGCUCAGUGGUAGAGCGCUUGCCUCACAUGUGUGAGACACUGAGUUCCAUCCUCAGCAUCACA
rfam:Ictidomys tridecemlineatus contig025091, whole genome shotgun sequence.